rnacentral:rRNA from 1 species
CCUACGGGAGGCAGCAGUAAGGAAUAUUGGUCAAUGGAGGCAACUCUGAACCAGCCAUGCCGCGUGCAGGAAGACUGCCCUAUGGGUUGUAAACUGCUUUUAUCCGGGAAUAAACCUGCUUACGUGUAAGUAGCUGAAUGUACCGGAAGAAUAAGGAUCGGCUAACUCCGUGCCAGCAGCCGCGGUAAUACGGAGGAUCCAAGCGUUAUCCGGAUUUAUUGGGUUUAAAGGGUGCGUAGGCGGCCUGUUAAGUCAGGGGUGAAAGACGGUAGCUCAACUAUCGCAGUGCCCUUGAUACUGAUGGGCUUGAAUGGACUAGAGGUAGGCGGAAUGAGACAAGUAGCGGUGAAAUGCAUAGAUAUGUCUCAGAACACCGAUUGCGAAGGCAGCUUACUAUGGUCUUAUUGACGCUGAGGCACGAAAGCGUGGGGAUCAAACAGGAUUAGAUACCCUGGUAGUCCACGCCCUAAACGAUGAACACUCGCUGUUGGCGAUACACAGUCAGCGGCUAAGCGAAAGCGUUAAAGUGUUCCACCUGGGGAGUACGCCCGCAAGGGUGAAACGUCAAAGGAAUUGACGG